UUUUUAAAGUGAGGAAGGGAAACUGUCUACCUCACAGGAUGCUUCUUGUAAAUAUGUAGUAGAAGAGAAUGUGGAGGUUGCAGAAGAGACUCCUUCAGUUCUGCAGCCUACUAACAGCAAUCCAGAACAGAGGACUGAUCAACACACCCAUUUAGGAGAGGCGUCUGUUAAUGGCCCUGUAUGAUAUGUGAUGUCUGCUACCUUGGCUGAAGAAAAUGAACUGAUAUCCAGGUGUUUGAGUGUUUCUUGAGGAUUUCAUCUAGACCCUGUUGAAGCCAGUCACUGCUGCACUAAUUUCGCAAGAGAUCAGGACCAGCAACAUUUAUAUUCUAGAUUUUAAGACAUUGUACAGAAAUUCAUAAGUGUAAAAAUAUUGCACAUUGAGAAAUACCAAUAAUUUUUGCGUAUGUUUAUAUUGUAUUGUUCUAAAUAAUGGGUGGCCUGUGAAGUAAGAUCCUGCUACCCAUGUAAUGAUGACAGUAGUGUUACUAUAGUUAAAAUGGCUGUAAGAAUAGUUUUAUAAAAAAGUGAAUACACAAAUCUAAUGUAUUUGAGACCUAACUAUUUGACGAUUAGUGUGACCAAAGUAUUUAGCAGUUUUCAUACAUUUUUCACCUUGUAAAAAGAAAAGAAAAAAAUGAAUUCAUGUUUCUUCUGAAACUAAAAUGCCCUAUAAAUGUUAUUUUGGUUGUUUUAGCUUACAAAAGUGAUUUAAAUAAGAAUUUUUUGGUGUUCAACAUUUUACAACAGGUUUUUUAAUUGGUAAUUGUUUUCUGUAUUGUUUAAAACAGAUCAAAAGUGUAAGUCUAUUGGUAGAGAUUUUAAGUAUUUAUUGCUACAACUUAGUUGACAAAUUGAUGUUACUGUAAAGCCAUAUGUUCUGUUAAGUCUUGUUUGCUUGAAACAAUACCUUACAGGUGAAACACUAGAAUAUUUGAAGUGCACAUGGCUUGUUGUGUUUAAAGUGAUUCACCUGCGUUUUAACCCAUUCACCAAGAUUUAGUUUAAUAUCAAGCAUUAUACAAUGGAACAUUUCAGAACAAUCUACGUAUUUAAAACGCUAUAAUCCUUUUAGAUAAGUAAACAAAAUGCCUGUGCUGCUAAUGUAAUUGCAGUACAUGCAUUUUAAAAGUAUAUAGUGUUUUUAAUACAAAUUUUGGCAGCGGAGCAUGUUAAUUGUUACUUUCACUGUACUGAUCUAUGUGAGGCUUUCAUUUGUAUGUUCUAAACCAGUUUUUUCAGAGCUGGUUUGUGUAUAUAUAUAGUGAUUAUGGAAACUAAUUCUGUGUAAUUUAUAAUUUUCUAUGUCAGUGUAAAAUUCCAACAGCCUUCUCAAACAAACAGAAGCAAUAUACUGUAUAUUGCCACAUUGUCUGGUGAAAGGGUUAAAGUACUUCACCUCCUGCACUUUUAGAUGCAAAUCCACUUUUGUUUCUGUAAUAGUUCUAUUCCUUUAUUUUUUACAUCAUUUGUUUCCUGACCAGUAUUUAAAGCCAAAAGGAUAUUCAAAACAAUGGCCAAUGCUUUAUUUUAGAAGGUGUCCCAAGCAACGUGCCUAAACAUUACAUUGCAUACAGAAAUAAAA